rnacentral:rRNA from 1 species
UAAGGCGGGAAAACGAGUUAUCUGAACCUUCGGGGAACGAUAACGGCGUCGAGCGGCGGACGGGUGAGUAAUGCCUAGGAAAUUGCCCUGAUGUGGGGGAUAACCAUUGGAAACGAUGGCUAAUACCGCAUGAUGCCUACGGGCCAAAGAGGGGGACCUUCGGGCCUCUCGCGUCAGGAUAUGCCUAGGUGGGAUUAGCUAGUUGGUGAGGUAAGGGCUCACCAAGGCGACGAUCCCUAGCUGGUCUGAGAGGAUGAUCAGCCACACUGGAACUGAGACACGGUCCAGACUCCUACGGGAGGCAGCAGUGGGGAAUAUUGCACAAUGGGCGCAAGCCUGAUGCACCCAUGCCGCGUGUAUGAAGAAGGCCUUCGGGUUGUAAAGUACUUUCAGUCGUGAGGAAGGCGGCGUCGUUAAUAGCGGCGUUGUUUGACGUUAGCGACAGAAAAAGCACCGGCUAACUCCGUGCCAGCAGCCGCGGUAAUACGGAGGGUGCGAGCGUUAAUCGGAAUUACUGGGCGUAAAGCGCAUGCAGGUGGUUUGUUAAGUCAGAUGUGAAAGCCCGGGGCUCAACCUCGGAAUAGCAUUUGAAACUGGCAGACUAGAGUACUGUAGAGGGGGGUAGAAUUUCAGGUGUAGCGGUGAAAUGCGUAGAGAUCUGAAGGAAUACCGGUGGCGAAGGCGGCCCCUGGACAGAUACUGACCUCAGAUGCAAAGCGUGGGGAGCAACAGGAUUAGAUCCCUGGUAGUCCCGCCGUAACGAUGUCUCUUGGAGGUUGGGCCUUGAGCCGUGCUUUCGGAGCUACGCGUUAGUAGACCCCGGGAAUACGGUCGCAGAUUAAACUCAAUGAUUGACGGGGCCCGCACAGCGGUGAACCUGUGUUUAUUCGUGCACGCGAAGACCUUACUACUCUGACUCCAAAUACUUCCAAAAAGGAUGGUGCCUCGGAACUCUAAACGGGGCUGCAGGCUGCCGCAGCUCGGUUAGAAAUGUUGGUUAA